CCAAGUCCCGACGCACUCCCCCCGGCGCCGGGACUUUCCCCGAGCCGGGCUUCGGCGCCCAUCCCCCCUGGGUGCCGGGCCCGGCUCCUCC
rnacentral:ncRNA from 1 species